CCCUAUGGGGCGCAGCAGGACGGGAAUGUCCUUUCCAUCGGGCUCAAUCUCGGCGACGUAUCCCGCCACCUUGUCGAUGUCGUUCAGGUACUCCAUGUACUCCUUGAGGCACCACUCCGAGUGGCGCGGCGGCUUCGGGGGGAACUUGGGCUUCACCAGAUGCGUGAGCUCGUCCGCCAUGCAGGUCUGCCGCAUGGACGCGAGAAUCAUGCAGCGUGAAGCCUCGCGGUACUCAUUCGUGAUGCUGACGGGGCCGAAAAGCACGCGGUAGUGGGGAUUACGGCCGAUGAAAGCGGAGAUGCCGCGCCAGAGAAGGAAGAGCGAUGUGUAGGCUUUCUGGUACUCCGUACGGAUGAACGAGCGGCCCAUUUCAUUGGCGGGGGGGC
rnacentral:rRNA from 1 species